AGAGUUUGAUCAUGGCUCAGGACGAACGCUGGCGGCGUGCUUAACACAUGCAAGUCGAACGGAAAGGCCCUUCGGGGUACUCGAGUGGCGAACGGGUGAGUAACACGUGGGUGAUCUGCCCUGCACUCUGGGAUAAGCCUGGGAAACUGGGUCUAAUACCGGAUAGGACCGCAUGCUUCAUGGUGUGUGGUGCAAAGCUUUUGCGGUGUGGGAUGAGCCCGCGGCCUAUCAGCUUGUUGGUGGGGUAAUGGCCUACCAAGGCGACGACGGGUAGCCGGCCUGAGAGGGUGACCGGCCACACUGGGACUGAGAUACGGCCCAGACUCCUACGGGAGGCAGCAGUGGGGAAUAUUGCACAAUGGGCGCAAGCCUGAUGCAGCGACGCCGCGUGAGGGAUGACGGCCUUCGGGUUGUAAACCUCUUUCAGUAGGGACGAAGCGAAAGUGACGGUACCUACAGAAGAAGGACCGGCCAACUACGUGCCAGCAGCCGCGGUAAUACGUAGGGUCCGAGCGUUGUCCGGAAUUACUGGGCGUAAAGAGCUCGUAGGUGGUUUGUCGCGUUGUUCGUGAAAACUCACAGCUUAACUGUGGGCGUGCGGGCGAUACGGGCAGACUAGAGUACUGCAGGGGAGACUGGAAUUCCUGGUGUAGCGGUGGAAUGCGCAGAUAUCAGGAGGAACACCGGUGGCGAAGGCGGGUCUCUGGGCAGUAACUGACGCUGAGGAGCGAAAGCGUGGGGAGCGAACAGGAUUAGAUACCCCGGUAGUCC
rnacentral:rRNA from 1 species